rnacentral:rRNA from 1 species
GAUGAACGCUGGCGGCGUGCCUAAUUCAUGCGAGUCGAGCGAACAGACGAGGAGCUUGCUCCUCUGACGUUAGCGGCGGACGGGUGAGUAACACGUGGAUAACCUACCUAUAAGACUGGGAUAACUUCGGGAAACCGGAGCUAAUACCGGAUAAUAUAUUGAACCGCAUGGUUCAAUAGUGAAAGACGGUUUUGCUGUCACUUAUAGAUGGAUCCGCGCCGCAUUAGCUAGUUGGUAAGGUAACGGCUUACCAAGGCAACGAUGCGUAGCCGACCUGAGAGGGUGAUCGGCCACACUGGAACUGAGACACGGUCCAGACUCCUACGGGAGGCAGCAGUAGGGAAUCUUCCGCAAUGGGCGAAAGCCUGACGGAGCAACGCCGCGUGAGUGAUGAAGGUCUUCGGAUCGUAAAACUCUGUUAUUAGGGAAGAACAAAUGUGUAAGUAACUAUGCACGUCUUGACGGUACCUAAUCAGAAAGCCACGGCUAACUACGUG